CUGUUGAUGCUAGAGAGGCAGCAGAAGAAUGAGUAGUUGCGAGAUAGAGAGAGGAAGGGAGUCUCCAUCAAGGCUCCGGUAACGUAUUCGGGUCGUGCAGCGCAUCAAUAGACGGUACAGAGGACGAUGAUCCUCGUGGUGAUGUUCGUUUCCCUGAUUGUUAAAGCGGUGUUGGUUCAACCGACAUCACACCGUCGACUAGGGUUCAUAACUUGAGUGGAAAAUAACGCUGCUAUCGGUGGUGUUUGUUCAACCGAUUAUGGUUCGAGUGACACCACACAUCGUCGGCUAGGGUUCAUACAUGGGUUGGCGACUGAGGUCCAAGUGAUGGUUGCUCCGACGAAGGGUGAGCCUAUUUGAGGCAAUCCUCGAUUGUUAAGGGACUGUGACGGUGGUUCUCGGUGACUGGACGACUUGAACCAUCAGAGGCUUAGGAACCGUUUAUGUCAGUUUCUUCCGGCCUGUGUUGGAUACAGUAAUAAAUAAUUGUGUGGAAAAAUGAUUAUUUCAUUCUUGCUGCUCUCUACGAGUCGUUUCGGUAGCUGCGCUGUAGGAAAAAGGCUGUCAAAGUAAAAUGGAUCAUGGGCUGAAUGAAUCGUCAUAUUAGUAGUACAAAUUCGUCCUUCAUAAGGCGAUCGUUAAAUCGAUAUGGAUCUAGCCACCAUGAAAUUGACGACGAUAGUGUCUUAGAGGCAGGAGAUAUUGGAGAAAGGGCACUAAGUAGUCGAAGGUAUUGUGUGUGGUCGGUAUAGGUUUUCUUUCGAUAACCCCGUAGAAACUGUGGGUUUACCUAUUCAAGAACCUUCGUUUAAAGAGUCACAGCUUCCGACCGCAUCUCCUACUUCACCGGAUGCAAUACUACUUGGAAUGCAAGAAGGAGUUGCCAUGGUAUUUGGCAUAUAUAUCAUCUCAUGUUCAUCUUGCUGUACUUGGCAUUCUUGGGGUAAUGUUCAAAUUACUAUUGUUAGUGGUGGAUCCAGGAACUUUUUCCUAUGGGUUCACUUUUUUUGUUGAUCAAAGUUUCACAACCAUAUGUUAGGGUUUUCGGGCUAGGUCGGGUCACUUUUUUUUGGCGGCCAACUUUUUCGGUUCAGUACUUCAAUCUCUUUAAAUUCAUAAAUCAUAUAUUGAAAAUGAAACUUGAAUACAGUGAAAUUAUUUUAAA